rnacentral:tRNA from 1 species
GCCUCGAUGGUGGAACAGGUAGACACAGCGGACUUAAAAUCCGCAGACCUUAACCGGUCGUGCCGGUUCGAUUCCGGCUCGAGGCA